rnacentral:rRNA from 1 species
AUUGAACGCUGGCGGUAUGCCUAACACAUGCAAGUCGAACGGCAGCACAGUAAAGAUUUCGGUCUUUAUGGGUGGCGAGUGGCGGACGGGUGAGUAAUGCGUAGGAAUCUGUCCUGGAGCGUGGGAUAACCCGAGGAAACUCGGGCUAAUACCACAUGAUAUCGAGAGAUCAAAAGCAGGGGACCGCAAGGCCUUGCGCUCUGGGGUGAGCCUACGUCGGAUUAGCUAGUUGGUGGGGUAAGAGCCUACCAAGGCGACGAUCCGUAGCUGGUCUGAGAGGAUGACCAGCCACACUGGGACUGAGACACGGCCCAGACUCCUACGGGAGGCAG